CAUAAUAUGUGUAAAAUGCUUUGCAAAUUGUCAAUGUCAGCUCCAGCUAACCGCACUAUAAUGAUCACGGCCCCAUCGAUGAUGUGUUACAAUGUAUCACAGUAAAGUGACGGGAACUGCAAUGGAAGUAGAUUAAUAAUGUAAUUAACAUGGGACUGUGAUGAUGCAGUGACAAGAUAAUUAAGGAUGGUUAUGUUGCUACUAUUGCUACUGUGGCGGAGCACCGCGAAAGCCCCUGCCGGCUUUAAAUGCCUACACUUGUGCCCGGCCCACUUCGGAUGGGCAGUACCAGAGCUUUGGCCAAGUGAUGAAUUUUGGGGCAAAGCUAAGGCAGAUGGGGAAUCAGAGAUGCAGCAGAAAGAAUGAUGAAUUCCAAGUGAAAGGACUUGGGUUUGAAUCUCACUUAUGUGAGCAUUGGCCAGGAACUACCAUUCACCACAUUGGACCUCCUGUUAUGGCAGGGGGAUAGGACCAAAAGAUCCCAGGUCUCCAAGGCCAGAAAUGAAGAGGCUGACAGCCAUCGGCUUACCUGACUCGAUGAGACGUGAUGGGCUGAACCAGGAUGAAAGUAAAUGGCUGUACUUCAACCUGUUGGUGAAUGAGGGGGAUGCCUGCCCCAAGCAUGUGGAAUGAACAAAGGAGAACACCUUGCUCCAUUGGCUAUGCAGGCGGCUGAAGCAUUGAAGCACACUUAGAGCUUGGGUGGGUAUAGAACGUGUUAAGGUCAUUCACUCCAUCCUGAACCUUUGCCAGGUGUUCUGAUCUUUGUCUUGCGACUUGACUUUGAUGACUCAGGAAGAAAGAGUGAAGAGGACAACUUUGUGCAACUCUGCCCCGUUUAAAUCCAGUCCACCUGAGAGUCAGUCCCUCUCCUGGGAUGUCACUGAUCCUCUUCAGAAAUGAAUGACAACAAGCCUCCAUUUUUACCUCACACGUGUUUUAUGUACAAAGUCCU